rnacentral:tRNA from 1 species
GCCUGGGUGGCUCAGACGAUUGAGCAUCUGACUUCGGCUCUGGUCAUGAUCCCACGGUUUGGGAGUUCGAGCCCCCCUUGGGCU